UAAGUGAGAAAAUAAUUAUUAUUAAAACAAAAAUUAAAAACCCAAAACACACACUUGGUGUGUGUUCUGGUCGUAGAUUACACAGGGGGCGAACAAGCUUUCUUCAACCAAACCCUAACUAGCUAAAAAUCAAGCAAUUGGACGGCCAAAUCAGUCUCAAAUCGAAAUCCAAGCUUAUUUUAGUGAUCACCUAAGCGAAGGGAUCACAAGUUUGACUCUGACAAGCUUGGUAGGAGCUUGGAAAUGAACGGGUCAAAUGGAUACAAGUUCAAGUAUGAAGCUCGCAAGGAUGCAAGGAGUGAACCGGAAGUGGAUAAUUGCGUCGCUAUAAAGUAGCGGCUAAUAAAAGCAAGGUAUAAAACGAGUUUAUAUGUUGACCCGAGCCAGGUGAAUGUAGCUACCAUCCGGGUGUCGAUCAAGCAAUGAAGUGAACCGAACACUAUGCAGUUACAAGCUUCCGCACAUAGUUUCGUCGUUAUUUUUAAACGGCGAACUCAAUUACAUUACGUUGUAUUGUUCUUUAAUCGUAAAAGUUUUAAUAA